rnacentral:lncRNA from 1 species
GACUAGCGCUACUCCGUCCGGCCACAGCACAGCGGCGGACCCCUGCAUUCUCUCCGCCUCGCCAUCGUCGUCACGCUUGUGGCCUCUGAUUUUCCAUGCAUUGAACGAAGAAGGAGAAUUGAAGACCCGAAGCUCCGAGUCUCCUCCGGCGAGUUUCUACGAAUUCCGGCUACUCCGAUCACCGAUUAAGCUGCAUGUGGCUAACAAUCGAAAAGCUUUCUGGUUGUUGGCAUCACACUCACCAGUUCAUCUUCGGCAGUGACACUGGGAAAUUGGGUUUUCGUCAUCAGGCUUGUCCUGGGAACUGAGUUGGGUUGAUUAAAGUUGAUUUCCGAUUUCGAAGUGAAUCUGCGUUUAUGAGAAUGGUGAAUUGGAUUGGACUGGGUUGCUCGUAUGAAGUGGUUGAUAUGUAAUCGGGUUCCUGUAAACUUGAAGUUUUGUCAUGAUAAUGGUUGUGAAGUUGUUGAUAUGCUCGUAUGAAGUUGUUGAUAUGUAAUCGGGUUCUGUAAACUCAAAAUUGUGGGUUUCUGGUAAUUUGUUGAUCGGGUUCUAAAAGAGAGAAUGGCUUUUGGAACUGGGCUUGUGGUUUAAGAAUUUGCUGAUCGAUUACAGAGGAAUUGGCUAUGGCUGAAGCUCUCUAUCUUUAUAUCUCCACUGUAUUUAUUCUGCAUAAAGGUUCAAACUUGAAAGCAGAGGAGGAUUGAUUCUCAGUACCCAAUCGCAUUACGAUUUUAGAAGCCAUGGAAGUGAAAAUUUGUGACAGAUGAACUCACCAACAACAAGAGCGAAACAAUAACGAUGACCUCCGGUGACGGAGAUGGAGGUGGGUUUUUAGAUCAGAGGGAGUAAUUUAUUCUCCUUUUUUCGGAGCUCUGAUGGUCUUGGCCUCUUUGGGAUCUCGAAGUGAGAAUGGGAUUGAGAAUUGAGAGCAGAAAGAGAUGGACAAGGCACGUGACUACCAUUCUGUGGGAAUUGUCUUAAACGCCCUCAAGAAAUUACUGUGACGGAGUCUGUUUUUACUGAUAACGGUAGUUAAGUAGGCAAUUACAUCAAUGACCUUUGAUUUCAAAACGUGUGGACAUGAUUGAACCACGACUGCUGGGCCCACGAGGGUGCACCUUAUGUAGGGCGUAUUCCAGCUGCUCCCAUAUAUAUAUAUGUGUGUGUGUGU